GAAGAAGAAGAAGAUGAUGAUGGUGUAUCAUAAUUUACUACAACAUUAUUAUUUUCAUUCCCAUUUUCAUUUUCAGAAUUCGAAACAUCAAUCACAAUCUCCACUCUUGACUCCCCAUUAUUAUUAUUUAAACCAGCUUCUGCUGACUCCAUAGACUUGGCAUCACAUGCAGUAUCACCCACCACUGCCGGAGCUCUGCAAAUUGGACAAUUAGAGUGGGAAAGCAACCACAUGUCAAUGCACUCAACGUGAAAAUCAUGCCCACAUUUUUUCAAGCUCCUACCAAUCUCAUUUUCCUCGAAAAGGCUUAAACAAAUGAUGCACUCCAAAUCUUGUUCAUGCUCUUCAGCUUUGUAAACAAACAAUGGAAUGGAAGAAAUGAUUGAUGGGGCAAGACCUUCUGUAGAAGGAGAAGAGGGGAAGGCGUCGAGAGUAAAUGCGUGGAAAUGGUGGAAUCUUGAAGGGCGCAGAACGUGAGAUACAGAGACGGAGCUUGAUCUCCUUCUAUGGCGAGCUUGUUCCAAGAACCAUUUGGCGUAGAUAUGAAGAAGUAACACAAAGAGAAUGACCACAAGGAGGGAUAUCACCGCAGCCAGCAUUAUGUUGCUAUCAUAUGAGGAUAUACUGUUAAUGAAGUGACUUAGUGGAUAGUGUUUUGGAGUACUCAACAUAGCUUAUCUUCUCUUCUCUAAUAGGAGGCUAAACCACAACGAGACUGAUGCUUGUGUGAAA
rnacentral:misc_RNA from 1 species